rnacentral:rRNA from 1 species
UCGGGAAUUUUGGGCAAUGGGGGAAACCCUGACCCAGCAACGCCGCGUGAAGGAUGAAGUAUUUCGGUAUGUAAACUUCGAAAGAAUAGGAAGAAUAAAUGACGGUACUAUUUAUAAGGUCCGGCUAACUACGUGCCAGCAGCCGCGGUAAUACGUAGGGACCAAGCGUUGUUCGGAUUUACUGGGCGUAAAGGGCGCGUAGGCGGCAUGACAAGUCACUUGUGAAAUCUCUGGGCUUAACCCAGAACGGCCAAGUGAUACUGUCGCGCUAGAGUGCUUAGAAGGGGCAAUCGGAAUUCUUGGUGUAGCGGUGAAAUGCGUAGAUAUCAAGAGGAACACCUGAGGUGAAGACGGGUUGCUGGGCUGACACUGACGCUGAGGCGCGAAAGCCAGGGGAGCAAACGGGAUUAGAUACCCCAGUAGUCCCUGAGCGGGCUGGCAAGGCGCAU